rnacentral:rRNA from 1 species
CCUACGGGAGGCAGCAGUGAGGAAUAUUGGUCAAUGGGCGUAAGCCUGAACCAGCCAAGUCGCGUGAGGGAUGAAGGUUCUAUGGAUCGUAAACCUCAUUUAUAAGGGAAUAAAGUGUGGGACGUGUCCGAUUUUGUAUGUACCUUAUGAAUAAGGAUCGGCUAACUCCGUGCCAGCAGCCGCGGUAAUACGGAGGAUCCGGGCGUUAUCCGGAUUUAUUGGGUUUAAAGGGUGCGUUGGGGGCCUUUUAAGUCAGCGGUGAAAGUCUGUGGCUCAACCAUAGAAUUGCCGUUGAAACUGGGGGGCUUGAGUUUGUUUGAGGCAGUCGGCAUGCGUGGUGUAGCGGUGAAAUGCUUAGAUAUCACGCAGAACCCCGAUUGCGAAGGCAGCCUGCCAAGCCAUGCCUGACGCUGAUGCACGAAAGCGUGGGGAUCAAACAGGAUUAGAUACCCCAGUAGUC